GAAGUGUUAGCUUAAGUUAAGAGUAUAAAAUUUUUAAUUUUAUGGUGUAGUUCACACUUUA
rnacentral:tRNA from 1 species